rnacentral:rRNA from 1 species
GAUGAACGCUGGCGGCGUGCCUAAUACAUGCAAGUCGAGCGAACAGACCAGCAUCUUGCUGCUCUGAUGUUAUCGUCGGAUGGCUUAGUAAUACGUGGCUCACCUACCUAUAACCCUCGGAUUACUUCUGGCAACCGGAGCUAAUACCGGAUUAUCUCUUGAACCGCAUGGUUUAAAAUUUAUAGACGUUCUUGCUGUUACUUAUAGAUGGAUCCGCGCCGCAUUAGCUAGUUGGUAAUGUAACGGUUUCCCAAGGCAACGAUGCCUAGCCGACCUGAGAGGGUGAUGGGGCACACUCGAACUGAGACACGGUCCAGACUCAUAAGGGAGGCAGAAGUAGGGUAUCGUAAGAAAUGAGAGAAAGCCUGACGGAGAAGCGCCGCGUGAGUGAUGAAGGUCUUCGGAUCGUAAAAAUCUGUUAUUAGGGAAGAACAGAUGUGUAAGUGACUGUGCACAUCGUGACGGUACCUAAUCAGAAAGCCACGGCUAACUACGUG